rnacentral:misc_RNA from 1 species
GAUGAAGAACGUAGUGAAAUGCGAUAAGUAAUGUGAAUUGCAGAAUUCAGUGAAUCAUCGUAUCUUUGAACGCAUCUUGCGCUCCUUGGUAUUCUGAGGAGCAUGCCUGUUUGAGUGUCAUCAAAUUCUCAACCACUUCUUUUGAUGUGGCUUUGGAUAUGGGGGGAUUUCUUUUUUGCAGGCUUCUGAAAAACAAAGUCGGCUCCCCUGAAAUGUAUUAGUGGUGUCUGAGCAGGAGACUACUAUGGGUGUGAUAAAUCUAUCUAUGCCUUGGUACAACUGCUAUGCCGCUUCUAGCGAGUGCAUUUGACAAAUUUGACCUCAAAUCAGGUAGGACUACCCGCUGAACUUAAGCAUAUCAAUAAGCGAGGA